UUCGCAAUGCCCGAAAGGGUGACGAAGCGACGCCGCGUGUGGGAAGAAGGCCUUCGGGUUGUAAACCACUGUCGGGAGCUAAGAAAUGUAAGGGUGUUAAUAGCGCCUUUACUUGACAAAGGCUCCGGAGGAAGCCACGGCUAACUCUGUGCCAGCAGCCGCGGUAAUACAGAGGCGGCAAGCGUUGUUCGGAAUUAUUGGGCGUAAAGAGCACGUAGGCGGCUUUGCAAGUCAGUUGUGAAAGCCUUCCGCUUAACGGAAGAACAGCAGCUGAUACUACAGAGCUUGAGUACGGGAGGGGAGAGUGGAACUUCUGGUGGAGCGGUGAAAUGCGUAGAUAUCAGAAGGAACGCCGGCGGCGAAAGCGAUUCUCUGGUCCGAAACUGACGCUGAGUGUGCGAAAGCUAGGGGAUCAAACGGGAUUAGAUACCCCGGUAGUCCUAGCCGUAAACGAUGGGCACUAAGUAGAGGGGUUUU
rnacentral:rRNA from 1 species